ACAGUGGGACCCAUCCCUGAGCCUUGGGUUUGGGUAGAGGAGGGACACUCAGCUGUGAGCCAGUGGCCUGGGCUGAGUGAAUGUAGAGAGGAGGGGAGGCCUGUGGGCCAGGUCAGCUGCCAUUCUGGGAACAGACACCUACAAGAGCCACGUGCCUGGUUCCUGGGGCAAGAACAUGGGCUGCUCUGACCAAGUGGGGCCCUGCAGAGAGGCUCGCCUCUUAGAAGUGAACCACCCACCAUUAGCAGUGUCAGUGGAAGAGCAAGCGCAUCAGGGACCCAUGGAAACAGCGAAGUGGGCUGUGAUGAGGUUGCUGCUUCCUGGUGUGGUAGUGAUGACAGUCACAGCAGCUGCUCUCUGUGGCCCUCCUGUAUUCACAGCUGGUGCUGAGCCACAUAUGUGCCAGGUGCACACACACGCAGAUGCAUGCAGGCAUGUACGUGCACACACUGAUGUGUACACACAGAUGUACAUGGAGACAGAUGCACACACAGGUCUAUGCACACACGUAUGCAUGCACAGGCUUCUGUGUACACACACAGAUGUGCCUGCAGCAUCCUGUCUGUGCUACACACAGACAUAGGUACAUGGAGACAGAUGCACAUACAGGUCUAUGCACACACGUACGCAUGCACACACAGGCACCUGUGUCCACACACAUACAAAUGCACCCACAGCAUCCCAUCUGUGCCACACACAGACAUAGAUACAUGGAGACAGAUGCACACACAGAUCUGUGCACACACAUAUGCAUGCACAGGCACCUGUGUACACACAUACAAAUGCACCCACAGGAUCCCAUCUGUGCCACACACAGACAUAGGUACGUGGAGACAGAUGCACACACAGGUCUAUGCACACACGUAUGCAUGCACAUGCACCUGUGUACCUGUGUACACACACAGAUGCACCCGUAGUAUCCCAUCUGUGCCACACACAGACACAGGUACAUGGAGACAGAUGCACAUACACACAGGUCUAUGCACACACAUACAUACGCAUGCACAGGCACCUGUGUACACACACAGAUGCACCCGCAGCAUCCCAUCUGUGCCACACACAGACAUAGGUACAUGGGGACAGAUGCACACACAGGUCUAUGCACACGUGUGCAUGCACAGGCACCUGUGUACACAGAUACAGAUGCACCUGCAGUAUCCCAUCUGUGCCACACACAGACAUACGUACAUGGAGACAGAUGCACAUACAGAUCUAUGCACACAUGUACGCAUGCACAGGCACCUGUGCACACAUACAUACAGAUGCACCCGCAACAUCCUGUCUGUGCUGCCCUGUUAGGUUUGUGGCCAUUUGGGGAAUCUUCCUAAAACCCUAAAAGCUAGGGCAGGUCUGCUUGAGCAGGAGCAACAGCGUCUAGGGGACCCCUGAGGGCAGGACAGUCAGGGACCCACAGUUGAGCUGGGCCCACUGAGCCCUGGAUCCUUCUUGGUGUUUCAUCCUGGCCAGCAAGUAAGCAUGAGCUCCUGUGGGUCUCCAGAGGCCCGUGAGGACCAGUGGGCCAGGUGGGAACAAGGCUUCGCAUCCUCUUCAGGGGGACACCAGAGCAGGCCUGAGGAGGCCUGUGUCCCCAGCCUGUCAUUGCUGUGGCUCCGCUUCUCAGGGAGCCUAGGAAGAAGGUGUGGCAAGAGCCCGAGGUGCUGGCUGCACCUGGCAGGGCCUGUGGGCGUCAGUUUAGAUGCAUCCAUUCUCACUGAAGCAUUCCAGGGUUUGCCCUUAUGGUCGGCUGUGAGGGUGAGGAUGAUGCUGUGGGGGCAUGCACGCUGGGUGUGUUUCAGCCUCCUCUUCCGCCAGGCAUCCUGACGUCGAGGCCCAGGAGAGAGGAGUCCGGUGUCUGCUUGAGAAACAGCUCCCCAAUGGCGACUGGCCGCAGG